GAGGAGAGCAGGGAAAUUGGUUGAUAGUCCUGUUUUGAAAGAUCCCUUAUGUUUUAUCGAUUGAAAGUAAGGCUAGAAGUUGGUUUCUGCCUUUAAGGCUUUUAGAGCUUGACUACUUGCAAAUUUGUCAUACAAAGCCGUGUGUUUAUUUACGGAUAACAUCAGUUUCCACGAACGUCUAAAUAUCCUACAUCUGGUAUUAUCAUAGCUCCGGUGUUCCCAUUGUUAUGACGUCUUGAUGACAGUUUGGAAAUAGAUUGUUUGUUAUGGAAGAGGUUACUUGUAAAGUAGUCCUAGUGGGAGACAGUCGGUGUGGUAAAACCGCACUAAUUCACCGUUUUACUAACGAUGGCUUUUUAGAGGUUUACACUCCCACGGGUUUUGAACGAUACACAGCGCAAUACCAGGUUGGAGGUUGUUCGAUAAACUACACUUUGUGGGACACGUCAGGUAAGUGAUGACGAAAAAAAAAGGAUCCACAAGUUUCUGCGGGCAGAAAGACGGGAAAUCUGUAGGGCAUGUAAAUUUUAGCAA